rnacentral:sRNA from 1 species
GCCAGGCAUGGUGGUGCAUGCCUGUAAUCCCAGCAGCUUGGGAGACUGAGACAGGAGGAUGGUGAGUUCAAAGCCAGCUUCAGCAAAAAAUGAGGCAUUAAGCAACUCAGUGAGACCUGUUUCUA